GGAGAGUUGGCUGAGUCUGGGUUAAGGCGCCUGCUUCGAAACCAGGAGGCGGUAACACGUCCGGGGGUUCGAAUCCCUCACUCUCUUCCA
rnacentral:tRNA from 1 species